AACGAACGCUGGCGGCAUGCCUAACACAUGCAAGUCGAACGAGACCUUCGGGUCUAGUGGCGCACGGGUGCGUAACGCGUGGGAACCUGCCCUUAGGUUCGGAAUAACUCCCCGAAAGGGGUGCUAAUACCGGAUAAUGUCUUCGGACCAAAGAUUUAUCGCCUUUGGAUGGGCCCGCGUUGGAUUAGCUAGUUGGUAGGGUAAAAGCCUACCAAGGCGACGAUCAAUAGCUGGUCUGAGAGGAUGAUCAGCCACACUGGGACUGAGACACGGCCCAGACUCCUACGGGAGGCAGCAAUGGGGAAUAGUGGACAAUGGGCGAAAGCCUGAUCCAGCAAUGCCGCGUGAGUGAUGAAGGCCUUAGGGUUGUAAAGCUCUUUUACCCGGGAUGAUAAUGACAGUACCGGGAGAAUAAGCUCCGGCUAACUCCGUG
rnacentral:rRNA from 1 species